UACUAAAAAUUUAUUUUAAGUGUGCAGAACUUAGAUGCAGACAAGCUCUGAAGACAACUCAAAAGUUAGUUCUCAGAGUUUCUCAAGACUCAGAAGAUAAGAAUCUUCAGAAGUUAUAUGCGUCAGAGGAUGAAGACAUCAGAACUUGUUAAAGUCUGAAGUGAAUCAAACUCUGAUGUAUAUCUUGGGUUAUGUGAAGAUUCGUAUUUGUAGGUCAACUCUUUUACCAAUGAAGAAAAGGACCUCUCAACCUUGUUCAGAACAGCUACUUACAAUUUGUCUGUCCAUAAGGGAGAACGUGACCUGCCUGUGUUCUUAGCUUAAUAAGGAAAGUCUUCUCUACACAUGGUCAAAGUUACUGAAACUCUUACUUAGUUUUAGUAAUAGACAAACUGCAUCAAGACAGACACUUGAAGACAAAAGGUUAUCUCCAUCAACGGUUAUUUUGCAAUGACUCUUUCUCUGUAUUAUAUAUACUUGAAGAGAUGAAUUGCAACACAUAACAAACGCACGAAUAAUUCCUCAUUCGCUAAUACAAGCUCUCAACCUCUGAACCCGUGAAUUUCACUCUUAGUCCAAAUACUCUGUAGUUUUUGUAUACUCACUGUAUUUGAUCUUAAAGGUUCUCUUAAGAGCAUUUGUAUUACAAUCAACGAACUUUAUUACUUUGUUAGAUUGAGAAGUCUCUUGCUGUGUGCUUGAGCAUUGUGGUGAAGUCUCUUGCUAAGUGCUUGAGCAAUUGUAAUCUUGUGUGAUUAUAGUGAAAUCCCUUGGAAGUGCAAGGG
rnacentral:lncRNA from 1 species